CAGUAGCCGCGGUAAUACGGAGGGAGCUAGCGUUGUUCGGAAUUACUGGGCGUAAAGCGCACGUAGGCGGCUAUUCAAGUCAGAGGUGAAAGCCCGGGGCUCAACCCCGGAACUGCCUUUGAAACUAGAUAGCUUGAAUCCAGGAGAGGUGAGUGGAAUUCCGAGUGUAGAGGUGAAAUUCGUAGAUAUUCGGAAGAACACCAGUGGCGAAGGCGGCUCACUGGACUGGUAUUGACGCUGAGGUGCGAAAGCGUGGGGAGCAAACAGGAUUAGAUACCCCUGUAGUCCCUGUCUCUUAUAC
rnacentral:rRNA from 1 species